CGAGUAAGUGAUUAAAUUCUCAAUUAUCAAGAAAAAGUAAAAAAUAAAAUGCAAAUAGACGUAUGGAUAGAAUUAGUAUUCAACUUCUCUAGUUAUUCAUCAAUAUAAUAUGAAAAAAAUAUAUAAUUAAUGACAUUACGAUAUGCAUUAAGAGAUAAAAAAAAAUGAGUCUGAGCGGCUGUGGCAUUAUAUCACUAAUGUAAUUAUUUUGAAAUUAAGCGAUGAAUUUCACUGCUCGGAUAAAAUUUAUUAUUUAAAGUGUUAAAAUUUAAAAAUAAAUAUAAUAAAAUUGUCUUCUCUCCCAAAGUUGUGGACUUUUUAUCUCCUUAUCUUAAAUUACUUCUUUGUGGUACCAGUAUGAGAUUGAAAAAUCUCUGACAGAGACGUGAACUUCAACUUUUAGCAUGAUGUGACAAUUAUUUUAGAAUUGGUUUCAUAUUUGUAGUAUAAUUUGCGUGGGACACAAAUGGAGUCCCAAUGGUGGUUUAUUUGCCAAUUGCUAUAUGACUAGAGGUUGAAUUUAUAGUUCGUCCUAUGGUUUGAUAAGCCGAUGUAUCGAUUAAUGUGCGAUUCACACGUAUUAAUUAAUUUAUAUUGAUUUUGUCUGAUUCUGUUACAUCAUAAAUAUUUUAUAAAAAAAAUUACUUAUAUACAAAAUUUUAUUAGAGGUUUUUUGAAAUUUAUAUAAAAGAAAAUUGAUAAUCAAAGGACAAUUUGAUAUAAAAUUUUAAAUUAUAAGAAUUUAUAUGUCAAUACUAAAUAAUUGGGCGUUUGUUGCGCAUUUUUAAGUAAAGAAUAAAACUUACAACAAAAGCAGAUUAUUAGGUUGCUUUUGAACUAUUAAACUACAAUAUUUUUAUACUUAAACUAUUGUUAUGGCAUGGUUCCAAUGGGUCCACUUCCACGGGAAUAUAUGUAGACCUUGGCCUACAUCCUGUAACAGAAAGGAAAAUUUUAUUGAACAUUUAAUAUUUUCAGUCUAAAAAUAUUAGCAUAUUAAGGUUUCAUUAAAAAUAAAAAAUAAAAAAUUAAUACCUAAUUUAGAUAUCAUUUACAUAUGUGUUGAUAUUCCAAUCGGUUAGUGUCUUGGUAAAUUAAAAAAAAAAAAAAAAAAAUUAAA